rnacentral:lncRNA from 1 species
GAAGAAGAGAGUGUUCAAGAAGGUGUGGCGUUAUGAACAAGGUUAGCAAGGACAAGUAUUCUUCCACGUCGUCUGAAGAUCCCACCACAAAAGGGACCCGCUGGUGCAGUGUUUCAGGAAGGACGUCCAGGACGCGCUGAGUGCCUGUGGUGGCUGUUCCUCCAGCCUGCUCGAUCAGGAAGGCGAUGGGGUUACACUCGUACAGCAGCCUCAGCUGGAGACAAGAAAACACAUGGAGAUGUACUCUUGGACGUCAUCAGGGGAACCCAUCACCACCGGCACCCGCUGAUGGAUGUUCUCCGGUUGGAUGUCCAGAAUGUUGGUGGUGCCUGUGGUGGCCAUUCCUCCGGCCUGCUCCAUGAUGAAGGCCAUGGGGUUGCACUCAUACAGCAGUCUGAGCUGAAGAAGACAUAAAGUUUUUAACUGGUCUUCACUCACUACAUUCAUUCAAAAACAUUUACAGCUCACUCUUAAAAACCAAAGAUGCCAUGAAGAACCCAAAAAGAGGUUUUCACAGUGAUGGCAUACAAGAAACUUUUUUGUGGAACAUUCUGGAAAAAAAAUAUUUCAUAGUAU